UGGGGAGGCCGGAUCCUGGGCUGUGUCCCGGCGCCCUGUGCUCCGGGUCUGUGCUGUUGGAUUCCCCUCCGUGGAGCUGCCGCUCAAGCCCCU
rnacentral:pre_miRNA from 1 species